ACAGGGAUUGCCCUAGUAACGGCGAGUGAAGCGGCAACAGCUCAAAUUUGAAAUCUGGCUUUCGGGUCCGAAUUGUAAUUUGCAGAGGAUGCUUUUGGCGAGGUGCCUUCCGAGUUCCCUGGAACGGGACGCCUUAGAGGGUGAGAGCCCCGUACGGUUGGACACUAAGCCUCUGUAAAGCUCCUUCGACGAGUCGAGUAGUUUGGGAAUGCUGCUCUAAAUGGGAGGUAAAUUUCUUCUAAAGCUAAAUACCGGCCAGAGACCGAUAGCGCACAAGUAGAGUGAUCGAAAGAUGAAAAGCACUUUGAAAAGAGGGUUAAAUAGCACGUGAAAUUGUUGAAAGGGAAGCGUUUACGGCCAGACCUUUUCCUAGCGGAUCAUCUGGUGUUCUCACCGGUGCACUUCGCUAGGUUUAGGCCAGCAUCGGCUUCUGUAGAGGGAUAAAAGCAGUGGGAAAGUAGCUCUCUCGGGAGUGUUAUAGCCCUAAGCAUAAUACCUUUACGGGGGCCGAGGACCGCGCUUUUGCAAGGAUGCUGGCGUAAUGGUCGUCAACGACCCGUCUUGAAACACGGACCAAGGAGUCGAACAUUUGUGCGAGUGUUUGGGUGUUAAACCCUCACGCGUAAUGAAAGUGAACGGAGGUGAGAGCCCUUUACGGGGUGCAUCAUCGACCGAUCCUGAUGUCUUCGGAUGGAUUUGAGUAGGAGCAUUAAUGUUCGGACCCGAAAGAUGGUGAACUAUGCGUGGAUAGGGUGAAGCCAGAGGAAACUCUGGUGGAGGCUCGCAGCGGUUCUGACGUGCAAAUCGAUCGUCAAAUCUGCGCAUGGGGGCGAAAGACUAUCGACCAUCCUACUUCGU
rnacentral:rRNA from 1 species